AUUCUGGAAGCAAUAUCCACUGCUUUUGACAGAGAGAGGCAACACUUUCCAACUAGUGCUAUAGAGGGGGUGAAAGGGAGAAAAAAUCUCAGCAUCUAAUUCACAAGGAUUUCUCAGCCUUGGAGAACAAAUCCAGAUGUACUGAUUCUGCUACAAUUUACCACAUCAGCAACCCCCAGGCUUUUGCCAGUGCUACUGGAAGGUCAAGGACCAGCUCUCACAUCUGAGUCCUGCCCACUCUAGUCCAAGAGAGUUUCUAAUAGAAGCUGGUGACUCUGGGAACAGUGAUCUGUAUCUCAUCUGCUGUAGCAUUUAUGCUUUUACUAUGAAAACACUGUCCCUCUGAAAGUGCUUUUUAUCUUUGGCAUCAGAAGAAGUGAGCAAUGAUGAAGGGAAAGCCUGCUUAGCCACCACCUUUAAGUGAUUGGGUUUUUUUCUUUUCUGUGUAGCAGAUCAGCAAGAAGUUUUGCAUUUUAAAGAGCUCUCUGAUGCUAUUUCAGCAGUUUCUUUCAUUAUUAAGCUGCAUUCAGCUACUUUUGCCCUUUUUUCUAUUUUUCUAACUUCUUUCUCCAGAUUAAAAUAAAGGAGCAAACAGCAAAAA